UAAGUUGUAGCUAAAAAUUAAAGCACUCCAUUUACGCUGGAGGGAUUGCCUUGGGGUACUACUUAA
rnacentral:tRNA from 1 species